GAUUUAUCAUUAACUUAAGAUCUAAAAAUAAAAAAUCAACAUUGAUCUAAUCGAUGCUGCAGACUAGAUCUAACCCUUAGAUCUAUCAAAACUAGUUUGACAAGUUCAGAAACUAUUACCAAACUAUAAUCUGCUGAUAUUUGUUGGUCCAACAUAUGGAUAGGUGCUCCUUGAGGUUGCUCGUAGGCACAUAAAGAUGUUCGGCCUUUACAGAUAAUCCACAC
rnacentral:lncRNA from 1 species